CUGGGAUCAUGACCCGAGCCGAAGGCAGACGCUCAACUGACUGAGCCACUCAGUCUCCAAAGAAUCUAUUUGGUGAAACUGCAUCCUAAGCCUGCAAGCCUAAACAUCUCUUGGUCCUGAUGGGCUUGGGAACAAAUGAACCUAAGAACACUUGGAAAUGAACUUGUUGAUACAUAGAGAAGAAUCUGUGUCUGGAAAGAAGAUCUAGGUUUCCUGUGUUGUGGUCACCUUGGAGCUCACUUCCCUGUCUCCAGUCUUACCCACUGAUGUCUGCAAAAGAGAAAACUCUUUGGCCACCCACUACAUACAGACCAAUGGCAUUUCACGAUCUGGCGCCUUCCAAAGGAACAAGGUUCAUUUCUUCUAAAAAGCUGCAAGUGUUAGUGACUAAAAGGACCAGCACUUGGGUCAACCAGAUCUGGGUUUGAAUUCUGAUUAUUUCACUUACUUGUUGAAUGGCCUUUGUCUAGUCCCUUAACUUCUCUGGACUAUACAGUUGCCUAAUCUGUAAAAUGUAGACAAGAUGAUCCUAGCUUCAUAGAGUCAUUGAGAGGAUUAAACGUCAAGCUUCAUGGGAAGCACUUUGUACAGUACUAGACCAAUGGAAAACACUCAAUAAAGUAGAUCUUACUUAUCAUGUUUGCAUUCAGUGUGGCGGUGAGGAAUCCUCUGUCUAGGGUAAGACCGAUUAUAAAGCCUUGCUUUUAUUCUUAGUGAUUCUUAGUGAUUUUAUUUGUGGAGUGCCUGGGUUGGCACCUACUACCUACCUACUCAGUAGGUUGGGCGUCUGCCUUCAGCUCAGGUCGUGAUCCCGGGAUCCUGGGAUGGAGCUCCACAUCGGGCUCUCUGCUCAGUGGGGAGUCUUCUUCUCCCUUGCUCUCUGCCUGCUGCUCCCCUUGCUUGUACUUUUUUUCUGUGUCAAAUAAAUAAAUAAAAUAUUUUUUUAAAAUGUUUUUCCAUUAUUUAGUGAGCAGACUUUCUAAGACAGCUAGAAAUACCCGUUUGGCUUACCUCUGUCUCCCCUACCUGACUAUAAGUUACUAGAGGAGAGGAAUGAAGUUUUAAUCAUUUUUGAAUUCCUAGCAAUGCCUGGCAAACAACAGGUACUUAAAGAAAAUGUUUACUGAAUAAAUAGAUAAAUGUCUAGAAACUAUUUAUGAGCCAUUUCUCAUUUUAUCAUCUAGACCAGUGAUUCUCAAAGUGUGAUCUUUGAAUCAGCAGCAUGGACAUCACCUUGAGUUUGUUAGAAAUGCACAUGGAGUUCUAUGUCUUGAUUAGAUAUAGAUUAUAGGAGUAUGCCUAUGUCAAAACUCAUCAACCUGGGGAUGCCUGGGUGGCUCAGUUGGUUAAGCAUCCGAUUCUUGAUCUCAGUUCAGGUCUUGAUCUCAGGAUCAUGUGUCAAAACUCCAUGUUGGGCUCCACGCAUGGAGCCUUCUUAAAAAAAAAAAACAAAAAACAAAAACCUCACUGAACUGUAUUCUGAAGUGAAAUACUAACAAAAAGUUAAAAAAAAGUAUUGCCAUUUUAAUUCCUUCUGAUAAGUCUUAUCAGCAGGAGAUUUUUUUGCAUGGCAGUCUUAAGAUGGUCUACAGGGUCCUGUGAGAUCUGAUCUCCUACCCACUUUUCUAGACUGAACUGUUACCACUGCGCCAGUCACUUUUUCAGUCCUUCACCAACAAUGUCCUUUCAGUUUCCCAAAGGCAUAUAUUUCUAUCCUGCCCCAGGGCCUUUGCACAUGCUGUUACCAUUCCCUAGGAAUGUUUGUCCUUCCUCCCUUUCACCUGUUUAAAUCCCAUUCCUCUGGGGAGCCCUGGUGGCUCAGCGGUUUAGUGCCGCCUUCAGCCCAGGGCCUGAUCUUGGAGACCCGGGGUUGAGUCCCAUGUUGGGCUCCCUGCAUGGAGCCUGCUUCUCCCUCUGCCUCUCUUUCUCUCUCUCUCUCUCUCUCUCUGUCUCUCAUGAAUAAAUAAAUAAAAUCCUUUAAAAAAGUUAAAAAAAAUCCCAUUCUUCUUUCAUCUCUCAUCUUCUGUCUGUUCCUCAGAGAAACUUUCUCAAAUAUCACUUUUUAUAUGUCCAUGGAACCUUUUGUAGGGCUCCUGGGUACCUUUCUGCAUGUUGUUCACCUAAGUAAAGGUUCCCAGCUGAAAUGAUAGUAGAUGAAAUCCAGUUUGUGCUACACUCACAAAGCCUUGACUGUGGAGCUGGGCUGUGUCAAUCUGGAAGAAGGGUUGCCUUUUUCUACUUCAUCAAAGGCAUGGUCUGCUUGCUAAGCUAUGUCUAUUCCGGGUUGUUUCUGUCUAUUGGGACACCUUUUAAAAAAAUAGCAUACAGAUACUUUAUGGGCUAGCAUCAGCCCUGAUGUUACACUUCCCCUUAAUAGUACUUACCACAGCUGUAAUUUUACAAUUAUCUGUGUGAUUAUGUGGUUAAUGUUUGUUUCCCCCACUAGACAGUAAACUCUGUGACAGUAGGAAAGUGUCUGGUUUUGCUUGUUAUCAGGUAUUCCCAACACCUAGAAUAGUGUCUAAACAUAGUGGGUAAUCAGCAAAUGUCUAUUAAAUGCAUAAGACAUUUGGCAAGGAGGUUAGAUAAUGUUCCUUUUUCAUUAUAUACUUACUUAAAUUACAAAGUAAUACAGGCUUAUUAUAAGAAAUUCAAACAAUAGAGAAGCAUGUAAAGAAAAAAUGAAACUCUCUUUCUCCAUCAAUCCUAUUUUCCAGAUAUAACUACUGUUAAUGUUCUUCAGGAUUUUCUUCUUCUAAGCAUAUAUAAUCAAAUUCAGUCUUUUUUAGUAUUUUUUAAGAGUGAAAAUGCAACCUAUUCUACUCCUUGUUCUGUGACUUGUUUUUUCCACAUCUCAUCAAUAAUUGGAUUUUUUAAACAUCAUUUUUAAAUAUUUUAUUAUUUUAUUUAUUUAAUCAUGAGAGAGACAGAGAAAGAGGCAGAGA